GAACACCUGGAGGACAGAGAGGAGACGAGAAGCCAUUUGAGGCGGGAGAGCGCACGUGUCUGAAGGCGUGACUGGGCCGUGUCCCCUGUUUUCCUCAGACACGGUGCGGCUCCGUUUUCGAGUUAUGCACCACAGGACUCCGUCACUCUCCCACCCCACCUCGGUUACCUUAAUCCAGACACCCAGUGACAGGCCACCAAGUAAUGUUGACACAACCCGUCACUGAAGACUUAGAAUAACUUUAUUGUCACUUUGAAUGUCCACUAGUCGGCAUACAUUAAAAUGAAAUUUCGUUGCAUACAGCUUUCAAAGGGAACUUCUAAUAUACACUACAUAAACAUGACAAAUAAAUAAAUAAAUAAAUAAAUAAAUAAAUGCAAAACUAUGCAUAUAGUUGUACUGAAGCACAUUUGCCAUGGUUUUAAAAGUCAAGCAAAGGAGAAGAGGAGGAGGAGGUUAUCGUCUGGAAAUGUUAUCCUCAUUCUCAUACAUUAAAGUGUGAGAUAAAUACGAUUCCUGUUGUUCCAGUUGCAUUUUAGCCAUUGGAAUAGUUCCCAAGGUUCCACAAAUGGCACAACUGUCUAUGGACCAGACACCUAAUUCCAAAAGAAAGCUAUCUUGAGGUCUUUUUAACCCAGGUCUGUACAGCCAAGAACACCUGUUUGUCUACAAAUAUUGUACCUCAUCACAGUACAGAGAGAACAACAAGCCCCAUUGCAGAGGCUAUAUUAGCUGACGAUUCUGGAAGCUGCUGUACAAUUUAUCUCCAGGGCACCAAUUUGAGAAGGACUGGUCUAAAGAAUGACUUGUUGGCUAUUCGAGCAGUUCCUACACUAGGUUUCGUGAUGCACCCUACCCACUUGUAUGUGAGGAAGACUUUGAGAGAUGGAUGAAGAGAUACUGCCAUGGGAAUAGCCAGUUGCGCAUGCGUGCAUUAAUAGCCAAGGGUGACAUGAUGGAUUGAACCAGAACUGGAACCUGAAAAACCGGAGAAAAGUCGAUCUGUAUUGUAAAUCCUGACUCUUAGCGUUUUGUUUUGUUUUUCCUGGGAAGAGUUCUAAGAAGUUAAAGUGUAACUGAGGGCAUUCAGUAACUUUCAUUUGCAAGCUAAAGAAGAAGAAAAAACCAACGUCAGCUAUCUUCUUUUCUGUUUCAGACAUAUUUCAGCAGAUGUUUGUAGUGGGGUAGUUUGACCUAAAAGCUACAUAAACUAUAGGAGAUUA